CUCCUCUUUUUCUUUUUCUUCUUUGUUUUCUUUUUCAAAACAUUUUCAAAUAGAAUUUUGAGUGCAAAUAAAUUCUAACCAAAGGCAAUCAGCACAAAGUAAAGUAUGCUCCAGCAUGAAUGCAUAAACACGUUCCUAUCUCUAUGUUGAAUUUUAUUUUCAACAAAAAUUAUUUAUUUACUAAUUUCAAAUGCUCACAAAUAUUCAAAUAAAUUUAAUUAAUUACUAUUAAUUAAAAAUCAAAUUUUUGUGUGUUACACUUCCUCAUAGUCAGGCUGAGCCAUCUCAUUUAGAGUAGUUGUCCUUGCCUUAUGU
rnacentral:lncRNA from 1 species